rnacentral:rRNA from 1 species
CAGUCGCCGCGGUAAUACGGGGGGGGCAAGUGUUAUUCGGAAUGACUGGGCGUAAAGGGCACGUAGGCGGUGAAAAGGGUGGAAAGUGAAAGUCGCCAAAACACUGGCGGGGUGCUUUCUUGACCAUUUCACUUGAGUGAGAUAGGGGAGAGUGGAAUUUCGUGUGGAGGGAUCAAAUCCUAAGAUAUACGAAGGAACGCCAACCGCGAAGGCAGCUCUCUGGGUCCCCACUGACGCUGGGGUGCGAAAGCAUGGGGAGCAAACAGGAUCAGAUACCCCCGUAGUCCCUGUCUCUUAUACC